rnacentral:rRNA from 1 species
GAUCCUGCCGGAAGAAACUUAAAGGAAUUGGCGGGCUUCCGGUUGAUCCUGCCGGAAGAAACUUAAAGGAAUUGGCGGGAAACUUAAAGGAAUUGGCGGGGAAACUUAAAGGAAUUGGCGGGGAAACUUAAAGGAAUUGGCGGGUUUCCGGUUGAUCCUGCCGGAAGAAACUUAAAGGAAUUGGCGGGUUUCCGGUUGAUCCUGCCGGACCCGACUGCUAUCAGAGUGGGACUAAGCUAUGCGAGUCGACACAGCAAUGUGUGGCAUACGGCUCAGUAACACGUAGUCAACAUGCCCAGGGGACGUGGAUAACCUCGGGAAACUGAGGAUAAACCGCGAUAGGUCACUACUUCUGGAAUGGGUAAUGACCCAAACCUAUAUGGCCCCUGGAUUGGACUGCGGCCGAUCAGGCUGUUGGUGAGGUAAUGGCCCACCAAACCUGUAACCGGUACGGGCUCUGAGGGGAGGAGCCCGGAGAUGGGCACUGAGACAAGGGCCCAGGCCCUAUGGGGCGCAGCAGGCGCGAAACCUCUGCAAUAGGCGAAAGCUUGACAGGGUUACUCUGAGUGAUUUCCGUUAGGGAGAUCUUUUGGCACCUCUAAAAAUGGUGCAGUAUAAGGGGUGGGCAAGUCUGGUGUCAGCCGCCGCGGUAAUACCAGCACCCCGAGUGGUCGGGACGUUUAUUGGGCCUAAAGCAUCCGUAGCCGGUUCUACAAGUCUUCCGUUAAAUCCACCUGCUCAACAGAUGG